UAGGUAACCUGCCUUGUAGCGGGGGAGUAACUAUUGGAAACGAUAGCUAAUACCGCAUAACAAUGGAUGACACAUGUCAUUUAUUUGAAAGGAGCAAUUGCUCCACUACAAGAUGGACCUGCGUUGUAUUAGCUAGUAGGUGAGGUAAUGGCUCACCUAGGCGACGAUACAUAGCCGACCUGAGAGGGUGAUCGGCCACACUGGGACUGAGACACGGCCCAGACUCCUACGGGAGGCAGCAUG
rnacentral:rRNA from 1 species